rnacentral:lncRNA from 1 species
CUGGAACCCAGAUACAGAGAAGGAUGAGUGAAGAGCAAAGGUGUCCAGACCAGGCUGGUGAAACCCACAGAAACAACUGACCUGAACAUCGGGAAACACGGUCUCUCACUGAACCUGGAGUGCACUGACUUGUCUGGAAUGAUUGGCUGGACUGGAGCACCUUGAAAGACAAUCCCAAGACUAAAUUCAAUGGAUAAAAAGCCACUUCCCACAGUAAAAUGUGGGUCGUGUGAUGGGAAGCGUGGAGUGUGCUACCAGGAAGGCAAAACCUGCAGAGAUGGCUCCAUGGUCAUCAGCAAAUGCAUCUCACCAUGCUGAAUGCAGCUGAGCCAUGGGCAAGCCUACCAUCAUUGCAAAGAUGUUUGAAGCUGCAACUGCUGAAGGCCAGUGUCAGCCCUUCCUGGUCUCUAACCCUGGAUCCAUGCCUAUUCAUCAAGAAGAGAGAAAGAAGGUCUGGGGCUGGAGAGACAGCUCAGUGAUUAAAGGUGUUUUCUGCUCUUCCAGAAGACCUGAGUUUGGUUCUCAGGACCCAUGUCAGGUGGCACAAAACCAUCUAUAACUCUAGUUUCAGGGGACCCAACACUCUUCUGGUCUCAUGAGCAUAAACACACAAAUGGAAGACACACAUGAAU